rnacentral:rRNA from 1 species
UGUCCACUAAUUAUGGACUAGCAUGAAAGGCAAAAUGAGGGUUUAACUGUCUCUUAUAGUAAAUCAAUUAAACUGAUCCACCAGUAAAAAAGCUGGAAUAAACACACAAGACCAGAAGACCCUGUGAAGCUUAAACUAAACUAUUAAACCACAUAAUAACUACUUUCGGUUGGGGCGACCUUGGAAAAAAAAGAACUUCCAAACUAGUGACAAUCAAUCACCCCCAGGCCAACAAGCCACAUAUGACCCAGCACACCUGAUAAUUGAACCAAGUUACUCCAGGGAUAACAGCGCUAUCUUCUUCAAGAGUCCAUAUCAAAAAGAAGGUUUACGACCUCGAUGUUGGAUCAGGACAUCCUAAUGGUGUA